AACGUAGGUGGCAAGCGUUAUCCGGAUUCACUGGGCGUAAAGCGCACGCAGGCGGCUCUGUAGGUAGGGCAUGAAAUCUCCUGGCUUAACUGGGAGAGGUUGUCCUAUACCGCGGGGCUUGAGGAUGGGAGAGGGAAGUGGAAUUGCCGGUGUAGUGGUGAAAUGCGUAGAGAUCGGCAGGAACACCAGUGGCGAAGGCGGCUUCCUGGCCCAUUCCUGACGCUCAAGUGCGAAAGCUAGGGGAGCGAAC
rnacentral:rRNA from 1 species